AAACUGGGCAGCUUCUUCGGCACGUCAAGGCGGAGAGUCAGUGUGCACCUCCGAGGUUCUGCCAGCUGCCCAGGAGAGCUUCAUCCAGCCCCAAGCACCCCAGGGGACUGCCAAGCUGGGCCACUUCCUCGGCACGUCAAGGCGGAGAGUCAGUGUGCACCUCCGAGGUUCUGCCAGCUGCCCAGGAGAGCUUCAUCCA